rnacentral:rRNA from 1 species
GGACGAACGCCGGCGGCGUGCUUAACACAUGCAAGUCGAACGAUGAAGAGGUGCUUGCAUCUUGGAUUAGUGGCGAACGGGUGAGUAACACGUGAGUAACCUGCCCUUGACUCUGGGAUAAGCGUUGGAAACGACGUCUAAUACCGGAUAUGACAACUGAACGCCUGUUCUGGUUGUGGAAAGAUUUUUUGGUUGGGGAUGGACUCGCGGCCUAUCAGGUUGUUGGUGAGGUAAUGGCUCACCAAGCCUACGACGGGUAGCCGGCCUGAGAGGGUGACCGGCCACACUGGGACUGAGACACGGCCCAGACUCCUACGGGAGGCAGCAGUGGGGAAUAUUGCACAAUGGGCGAAAGCCUGAUGCAGCAACGCCGCGUGAGGGAUGACGGCCUUCGGGUUGUAAACCUCUUUUAGUAAGGAAGAAGAACUUCGGUUUGACGGUACUUGCAGAAAAAGCACCGGCUAACUACGUGCCAGCAGCCGCGGUAAUACGUAGGGUGCAAGCGUUGUCCGGAAUUAUUGGGCGUAAAGAGCUCGUAGGCGGUUUGUCGCGUCUGCUGUGAAAUCUGGAGGCUCAACCUCCAGCCUGCAGUGGGUACGGGCAGACUAGAGUGCGGUAGGGGAGAUUGGAAUUCCUGGUGUAGCGGUGGAAUGCGCAGAUAUCAGGAGGAACACCGAUGGCGAAGGCAGAUCUCUGGGCCGUAACUGACGCUGAGGAGCGAAAGCAUGGGGAGCGAACAGGAUUAGAUACCCUGGUAGUCCAUGCCGUAAACGUUGGGAACUAGAUGUAGGGGCCAUUCCACGGUUUCUGUGUCGCAGCUAACGCAUUAAGUUACCCCGCCUGGGGAGUACGGCCGCAAGGCUAAAACUCAAAGGAAUUGACGGGGGCCCGCACAAGCGGCGGAGCAUGCGGAUUAAUUCGAUGCAACGCGAAGAACCUUACCAAGGCUUGACAUGAACGAGAACGCUGCAGAAAUGUGGAACUCUUUGGACACUCGUUUACAGGUGGUGCAUGGUUGUCGUCAGCUCGUGUCGUGAGAUGUUGGGUUAAGUCCCGCAACGAGCGCAACCCUCGUUCUAUGUUGCCAGCACGUUAUGGUGGGAACUCAUAGGAGACUGCCGGGGUCAACUCGGAGGAAGGUGGGGAUGACGUCAAAUCAUCAUGCCCCUUAUGUCUUGGGCUUCACGCAUGCUACAAUGGCCGGUACAAAGGGCUGCGAUACCGUAAGGUGGAGCGAAUCCCAAAAAGCCGGUCUCAGUUCGGAUUGAGGUCUGCAACUCGACCUCAUGAAGUCGGAGUCGCUAGUAAUCGCAGAUCAGCAACGCUGCGGUGAAUACGUUCCCGGGCCUUGUACACACCGCCCGUCAAGUCAUGAAAGUCGGUAACACCCAACGCCAGUGGCCUAACCUUCGGGAGGGAGCUGUCUAAGGUGGGAUUGGUUGAUUAGGACUAAGUCGUAACAAGGUAGCCGUACCGGAAGGUGCGGCUGGA